GCGAAAGUGGCGGAACUGGUAGACGCGCCGGCCUUAGAAGCCGGUGGGGUGACCCCCCGUGAGAGUUCGAGUCUCUCCUUUCGCA
rnacentral:tRNA from 1 species